rnacentral:pre_miRNA from 1 species
UGGAGAAACAUCAUUGAGUGCAGCGUUGAUGAAUUCCCUGCAAUUUUCUGGAAUUUGGGGAUGAUUUCACCAGCGCUGCAUUCAAUCAUGUUUUUU